GCUGGGCAUGAUGGUGCAUGCCUAUAGUCCUAGCUACUCAGGAGGCUGAGGCAGGGGCACUGCUUGAGCCCAGGAGUUUGAGGCUGCAGUGAGCUAUGAUAGCACCACUGCACUUCAGCCUGGGCAACAGAGUGAGACCCUGUCUCUA
ensembl:misc_RNA Metazoa_SRP Metazoan signal recognition particle RNA